GUUAUAUUUUAUUAUUUGGACUUUUAAUCCGUUGGUCGAAGGUUCGAAUCCUUCACGACCCACCA
rnacentral:tRNA from 1 species